rnacentral:misc_RNA from 1 species
UUAUUCUAAAAUUGCUAAAAGGUUAUAGCACAAUGCAAAAUAUUGCACAGUCUAGGGCUACAUAACUCAAAAAUGCACGAGGGCUGCUUUUAAUUAACAUUGUUGCCAACUUACUUGCACGAAUCCUUUUUAAAGGGCAGGGGAGCAGUGAAAGACAAAAAGAACCAUAAGGAUCAAGACCUGGAAGUACUAUGCUAUAUUUUCUCGUACUGCUCCUCUGAUGCUCCAUUUACUGCAUAUUUAAGCACUCAUUAAGCCUAAAUAAUGUUUCACUCAGGAGCCAAUGCUAGAAAGCAAUUCGCUGCUCUCAAGAUUAUCUUCUUUAUUUGCUUCUGAAGUUGGAGUAGAACGUGCUCUUUCUGCAGCCAAAUUCAAUCUCAAAGGCCGCCCUUCCACUUCCACUCCAUUCA